GUGCAGCAGGCGCGAAACUUUACAAUGUGCGAAAGCACGAUAAGGGAACUCUGAGUGCCUCCUAAGGAGGCUGUUCAGGUGUCUAAAAGCACCUGAAGGAAGGGCCGGGUAAGACCGGUGCCAGCCGCCGCGGUAACACCGGCAGCCCAAGUGGUAGCCACGUUUAUUGGGUCUAAAGCGUCCGUAGCCGGCUGGGUAAGUUCCUUGGGAAAUUUGGCUGCUUAACAGUCAAGCUUUCAGGGAAUACUGCCCGGCUUGGGACCGGGAGAGGUCAGAGGUACUCCAGGGGUAGGGUGAAAUCCAUUAAUCCUUGGGGGACCACCGGUAGCGAAGGCGUCUGACCAGACCGGGUCCGACGGUGAGGGACGAAGGCUAGGGGCGCGAACCGGAUUAGAUACCCGCGUAGU
rnacentral:rRNA from 1 species